UACGAAGGGGGCUAGCGUUGUUCGGAAUCACUGGGCGUAAAGCGCACGUAGGCGGAUGUGUCAGUCAGGGGUGAAAUCCUGGAGCUCAACUCCAGAACUGCCUUUGAUACUGAAGAUCUUGAGUUCGGGAGAGGUGAGUGGAACUGCGAGUGUAGAGGUGAAAUUCGUAGAUAUUCGCAAGAACACCAGUGGCGAAGGCGGCUCACUGGCCCGAUACUGACGCUGAGGCACGAAAGCGUGGGGAGCAAACAGG
rnacentral:rRNA from 1 species